ACAAGUCCCCACCACCACCUCCAUACAAAUAUGAAUCCCCGCCACCUCCAGUCUACAAAUAUGAGUCUCCGCCACCCCCAGUUUACAAAUACAAGUCGCCACCACCACCAUACAAGUACGAGUCACCACCACCACCUCCAUACAAGUAUGAAUCCCCGCCACCUCCACCUUAUUACUACAAGUCCCCUCCACCACCACCAUACAAGUACGAGUCGCCACCACCUCCUCCGUACAAGUAUGAAUCUCCACCACCACCAGUUUACAAAUACAAGUCACCUCCGCCGCCACCUUAUUACUACAAAUCCCCACCGCCACCUCCAUACAAGUACGAGUCUCCACCUCCUCCUCCGUACAAGUAUGAAUCUCCACCACCACCACCUUAUUACUACAAAUCCCCCCCGCCACCUCCAUACAAGUACGAGUCACCGCCUCCUCCUCCGUACAAGUAUGAAUCUCCACCACCGCCAGUUUACAAAUACAAGUCACCCCCGCCACCACCUUAUUACUACAAAUCCCCGCCACCACCUCCAUACAAGUACGAGUCUCCACCUCCUCCUCCGUACAAGUAUGAAUCUCCACCACCACCUCCUUAUUACUACAAAUCCCCGCCGCCACCUCCCUACAAGUAUGAAUCCCCGCCACCACCUCCCUACAAAUACGAGUCACCUCCACCACCACCUUACUAUUACAAAUCUCCUCCACCGCCUCCAUACAAGUAUGAGUCGCCACCACCACCAGUCUACAAAUACGAGUCUCCGCCACCCCCAGUUUACAAAUACAAGUCGCCCCCUCCACCUUAUUACUACAAGUCUCCGCCACCCCCGCCAUACAAAUAUGAAUCCCCACCUCCACCUCCCUACAAGUAUGAAUCGCCUCCUCCUCCACCUUACUACUACAAGUCCCCUCCACCACCUCCCUACAAAUAUGAAUCCCCGCCACCACCUCCCUAUAAAUACGAGUCACCACCACCACCACCUUACUAUUACAAAUCUCCUCCACCGCCUCCAUACAAGUAUGAGUCGCCACCACCACCUCCCUACAAAUACGAGUCACCACCACCACCACCUUACAAGUAUGAAUCCCCACCUCCACCUCCGUACAAGUAUGAAUCACCUCCACCGCCUCCAUACAAGUAUGAAUCCCCUCCUCCACCUCCCUACAAAUACGAGUCACCACCCCCACCACCUUAUUACUACAAAUCGCCUCCGCCACCGGAGUAUCAAUCAC
rnacentral:lncRNA from 1 species